rnacentral:rRNA from 1 species
UACGUAGGGGGCAAGCGUUGUCCGGAAUCAUUGGGCGUAAAGCGCGUGUAGGCGGCUCGGUAAGUCCGCUCUGAAAGUCCAGGGCUCAACCCUGGGAUGCGGGUGGAUACUGCCGGGCUCGAGUCCGGAAGAGGCGAGUGGAAUUCCCGGUGUAGCGGUGAAAUGCGCAGAUAUCGGGAGGAACACCAAUGGCGAAGGCGGCUCACUGGUCCACAACUGACGCUGAGGUGCGAAAGCGUGGGGAGCAAACAGG